CAGUAGCGUAUAUUAAAGUUGUUGCGGUUAAAAAGCUCGUAGUUGGAUAUUUAUUUAAGAUUGCCGAUCUGAAAUUCAGAAUCGGAGGAUUUUAGAUUUUUUUGUCUAUCUUACUGUGCUUUGUUGCGCGGUGAGAAUAGCAUAACUUCACUUUGAGGAAAUUAGAGUGCUUCAAGCAAGUUAACGCUUUGAAUAUUUUAGCAUGGAAUAAUAACUUAAGACUUUGGUUAUAUCUUGGUGAUUCUAAAACCAAAGUGAUGUAUAAUAGAGGUAGUUGGGGGCAUUCGUAUUUAACUGUCAGAGGUGAAAUUCUUGGAUUUGUUAAAGACAAACUAUUGCGAAAGCAUUUGCCAAGGAUGUUUNCAUUGA
rnacentral:rRNA from 1 species